rnacentral:lncRNA from 1 species
UUAAAAGUCAAAAAAUAGUUAUUUUCAAAUUGUUUUUCUACUAUUAAAUAAACAUCAUAGAUAUGAGAAUCACGAGUUAUUCACAAUCCACUCCUAUAGUUUUAUAUGAAAACUCUAUUUUGAAAGAGAGCCCAAUCUUUAUACGCUCGCUAGCACUUAGCCCUUUGUACUUUCACUUUAAUUUCUGGUGUUGGGAUGUACAAAGCGAGAAUAACAAAAUAUACUAUAUUUUUAUAUUAUUUGCCUAGUGAUCGAAAUUUUUUAAAAUCAACUAAUUUAAUAACUGAUGUAAGGUGUUUGUAUAUUUAACAGUGUAUAAUAAUUAAAAUUAGAUAAAUUAGAUAAAAUUUAAAUUAAUUAUACCUUUGAUAUGAAAUUAAAGCAAGUAUUAUAAUUUUUUAUUAGAUUUUUAUUUUCUCUCAUUCAUUUUGAAACUACUCAAUCACCGGAUAAACAACAUUAAAAAAAUUAUAAAAUUUAGUUUUUAUCUACUAUCAAU